CAAGUUAUUUCAUUUAGAAAGAUAAUCGAGUCUAAGGUAACUGCUAACUCGCCCUAACACAGCUUUCUAGGCCAAAAUGUUUGCUAAUCCCAAAGUUGAGCUUCGUACUAAAUAUAACAAAUAUAUAUUUCACAGAUCUUCCUUGACAUCGGAGGAGGCGUUUGUAUUCUGUGCAUUCUGAUUGGAUUCCAUGCUCGUAAGGCGGCAAUGGCGUUCGCGAUCACGCUCAUGACUUUCAAUAUCGUUCACAACAAUUUCUGGAUUCACAGCGGCAUCAUGAACGAUUUCCUCAAAUUCGACUUCUUCCAGACUACUUCGGUCGUUGGCGGCUUGGUCAUGGUGGCGUCAGAAGGUCCUGGCGGUUUCAGUUACGAAGAAUACAAGAAAACUCAGUGAUGGAUCUGAUUGGUUAAACCAGUGAUGACGGAAUAAUGAAAUAUUAUUUACAACGACAAACUAAUAAAAUAUAUUGCACAAUAGUUUAUAGGUUCAGCAAUUUCAACUUUAUCAUCGGAAUUUUAGAUUUUAAAUAGAAUUUAAUAUUGAAGCAUUAUACAGGGUGUCCGAAAAAUUUCCUUCGAUUUCAUAGUUAUAACAAUUAUAAGUUUAAAUAGAUUUUAUUAUGUGAUAAAUAAGAACUACAAGCACAAUAAGAAUUAGAAAUUUUGAUCGUUAUUACUAUGAAAACGGGCGAAAUUUUUGGACACCCUUUAUUAUCGGAAAUGCUCAUUAAUAGUAAAAUACUACCUUCUCAUAUCACAGAUUAAUAAAAAGAUUUUCAGCUCAUGUA